UACGUAGGGUGCGAGCGUUAAUCGGAAUUACUGGGCGUAAAGCGUGCGCAGGCGGUUCGUUAAGUCAGAUGUGAAAGCCCCGGGCUCAACCUGGGAACUGCAUUUGAUACUGGCGAUCUCGAGUCCGGGAGAGGUGAGUGGAACUGCGAGUGUAGAGGUGAAAUUCGUAGAUAUUCGCAAGAACACCAGUGGCGAAGGCGGCUCACUGGCCCGGUACUGACGCUGAGGUGCGAAAGCGUGGGGAGCAAACAGG
rnacentral:rRNA from 1 species